UACGUAGGUGGCAAGCGUUGUCCGGAAUUAUUGGGCGUAAAGCGCGCGCAGGCGGCCUUUUAAGUCUGAUGUGAAAGCCCACGGCUCAACCGUGGAAGGUCAUUGGAAACUGAAGGGCUUGAGUACAGAAGAGGAAAGCGGAAUUCCACGUGUAGCGGUGAAAUGCGUAGAGAUGUGGAGGAACACCAGUGGCGAAGGCGGCUUUCUGGUCUGUAACUGACACUGAGGCGCGAAAGCGUGGGGAGCGAACAGG
rnacentral:rRNA from 1 species